rnacentral:snoRNA from 1 species
GGGCUUGUGAUGAUAAAUCAUUAUAUCUUAGCGGAUUUCAGUGAGGCUUCAUCGUCAAUGAUCUGAUUGUUACACACACUGAAGCCC